rnacentral:rRNA from 1 species
UACAGAGGGGGCAAGCGUUAUUCGGAAUUAUUGGGCGUAAAGGGCGCGUAGGCGGCUUUGCAAGUGACGGGUGAAAGCCCUCGGCUUAACCGAGGAACUGCCUGUCAGACUGUGAGGCUUGAGACCGGGAGAGGUGAGUGGAAUUCCCAGUGUAGCGGUGAAAUGCGUAGAGAUCCGGAGGAACACCAGAGGCGAAGGCGGCCUACUGGGCUGCACCUGACGCUGAGCCGCGAAAGCCAGGGGAGCGAACGGG